rnacentral:rRNA from 1 species
GGGGCAGCAUGAACUUAGCUUGCUAAGUUUGAUGGCGACCGGCGCACGGGUGAGUAACACGUAUCCAACCUGCCGAUGACUCGGGGAUAGCCUUUCGAAAGAAAGAUUAAUACCCGAUGGCAUAGUUCUUCCGCAUGGUAGAACUAUUAAAGAAUUUCGGUCAUCGAUGGGGAUGCGUUCCAUUAGGUUGUUGGCGGGGUAACGGCCCACCAAGCCUUCGAUGGAUAGGGGUUCUGAGAGGAAGGUCCCCCACAUUGGAACUGAGACACGGUCCAAACUCCUACGGGAGGCAGCAGUGAGGAAUAUUGGUCAAUGGACGAGAGUCUGAACCAGCCAAGUAGCGUGAAGGAUGACUGCCCUAUGGGUUGUAAACUUCUUUUAUACGGGAAUAAAGUGAGGCACGUGUGCCUUUUUGUAUGUACCGUAUGAAUAAGGAUCGGCUAACUCCGUGCCAGCAGCCGCGGUAAUACGGAGGAUCCGAGCGUUAUCCGGAUUUAUUGGGUUUAAAGGGAGCGUAGGCGGACGCUUAAGUCAGUUGUGAAAGUUUGCGGCUCAACCGUAAAAUUGCAGUUGAUACUGGGUGUCUUGAGUACAGUAGAGGCAGGCGGAAUUCGUGGUGUAGCGGUGAAAUGCUUAGAUAUCACGAAGAACUCCGAUUGCGAAGGCAGCUUGCUGGACUGUAACUGACGCUGAUGCUCGAA